rnacentral:rRNA from 1 species
UGGGGAAUUUUGGACAAUGGGGGAAACCCUGAUCCAGCCAUCCCGCGUGUGCGAUGAAGGCCUUCGGGGUGUAAAGCACUUUUGGCAGGAAAGAAACGUCAUGGGUUAAUACCCCGUGAAACUGACGGUACCUGCAGAAUAAGCACCGGCUAACUACGUGCCAGCAGCCGCGGUAAUACGUAGGGUGCAAGCGUUAAUCGGAAUUACUGGGCGUAAAGCGUGCGCAGGCGGUUCGGAAAGAAAGAUGUGAAAUCCCAGAGCUCAACUUUGGAACUGCAUUUUUAACUACCGGGCUAGAGUGUGUCAGAGGGAGGUGGAAUUCCGCGUGUAGCAGUGAAAUGCGUAGAUAUGCGGAGGAACACCGAUGGCGAAGGCAGCCUCCUGGGAUAACACUGACGCUCAUGCACGAAAGCGUGGGGAGCAAACAGG